rnacentral:rRNA from 1 species
AUUGAACGCUGGCGGCAGGCCUAACACAUGCAAGUCGAGCGAGCGGCGGACGGGUGAGUAAUGUCUGGGAAACUGCCUGAUGGAGGGGGAUAACUACUGGAAACGGUAGCUAAUACCGCAUACCAUCAGAUGUGCCCAGAUGGGAUUAGCUAGUAGGUGGGGUAAUGGCUCACCUAGGCGACGAUCCCUAGCUGGUCUGAGAGGAUGACCAGCAAAAGGGGACAUGAGACACGGUCCAGACUCCUACGGGAGGCAGAAGUGGGGAAUAUUGGACAAUGGGCGCAAGCCUGAUGCAGCCAUGCCGCGUGUGUGAAGAAGGCGUUCGGGUUGGAAAGCACUUUAAGCGGGAAGGCGUUACCCGCAGAAGAAGCACCGGAUAACUCCGUGCCAGCAGCCGCGGUAAUUC